GAUGAACGCUGGCGGCGUGCCUAACACAUGCAAGUCGAGCGAUUCUCCUCGGAGGAGAGCGGCGGACGGGUGAGUAACGCGUGGGUAACCUGCCCUGUACACACGGAUAACAUACCGAAAGGUAUGCUAAUACGGGAUAAUAUGCUUUAGUCGCAUGGCUGAAGUAUCAAAGCUCCGGCGGUACAGGAUGGACCCGCGUCUGAUUAGCUAGUUGGUAAGGUAAUGGCUUACCAAGGCGACGAUCAGUAGCCGACCUGAGAGGGUGAUCGGUCACAUUGGAACUGAGACACGGUCCAAACUCCUACGGGAGGCAGCAGUGGGGAAUAUUGCACAAUGGGCGAAAGCCUGAUGCAGCAACGCCGCGUGAGCGAUGAAGGCCUUCGGGUCGUAAAGCUCUGUCCUCAAGGAAGAUAAUGACGGUACUUGAGGAGGAAGCCCCGGCUAACUACGUGCCAGCAGCCGCGGUAA
rnacentral:rRNA from 1 species